UGAAAAUGGAGUGGUGAAGGCAGAGAAC
rnacentral:piRNA from 2 species